CCUACGGGGGGCUGCAGUGAGGAAUAUUGGUCAAUGGGCGUACGCCUGAACCAGCCAAGUCGCGUGAGGGAAGACUGCCCUAUGGGUUGUAAACCUCUUUUGUCAGGGAGCAAUGGGCGCUACGUGUAGCGUUAUCGAGAGUACCUGAAGAAAAAGCAUCGGCUAACCCCGGCCCAGCAGCCGCGGUAAUACGGGGGAUGCGAGCGUUAUCCGGAUUUAUUGGGUUUAAAGGGUGCGUAAGCGGAAUGCCAAGUCAGCGGUAAAAUCGCGGGGCCCAACCUCGGUCCGCCGUUGAAACUGGCGUCCUUGAGUGGGCGAGAAGUAGGCGGAAUGCGUGGUGUAGCGGUGAAAUGCAUAGAUAUCACGCAGAACUCCGAUUGCGAAGGCAGCAUACCGGCGCCCAACUGACGCUGAAGCACGAAAGCGUGGGUAUCGAACAGGAUUAGAUACCCUUGUAGUC
rnacentral:rRNA from 1 species